GGGGUGUGAAAACUCAAGUUUGACUUCUAAUCGAACUAAAAGUGAUUAGUGACACUUACACCCUA
rnacentral:tRNA from 1 species